AAAUGAGCCUGGCUUUCCCUAAAAUCACUUAAAUGGUAAAUAUCUCACACACAAACUAAAAAGUUGUUUUGCUGUUGCUUUUUGUUUUUUUGUUUUUUUACCAAAUAUAGCUUUUUACUGAUAGCAGCACAGAUGAAGAAUGCAUAACAUGCACAAUAUUUUGAUAAUUGCAAAAAGUGUGGCAUGCUUUUUCAAAAACACUCACAUUUUUCCAACUAAAAACAUUGACUUAAACUGUCAUGAGUUUCUUAGAUGUCUCAGUUUGUUGUCAUUAUUGUAGUGAGCCAUGUUUCAUUCCAAGUAGGUUUAAAUGCAACUUGCUGAAUGAUAUUUGAUCAGCAUAAUAACUCAAUAAAGUAGUUAUGUAAAUCAGGUCAAAUAUAUAUGAUUGAUAUCAUGAGCUUUAAGCAUCCUCCUUUAAAUUCAGUACAUUCAGUCCAUUAGAGGGCAAGGAUGAGCAUACGAGUUUUUAAUAAGAUGAAGUUGACUUUAAAAUAGUUGUAGCUUUAUGUGUUUUAAAGAUCACAGAGAGACAAAGUAGUGGAAUACCUAAACAAAUGUACAGAAUGAGCAGAUAAUGACAGAGUUUCCCAUCUUUAGACCAUGAUAACCAGCUGGAUUAUACAUCAAAGCAGCAGAUGGUAAAGAUGAUGUUUUACUCUAUAAUCUAUAUGGUUCAGGAACACUAUGACUCUAUCUACUCAUUAAAAAAUCAAUUAGAAAUGGACAUUUUUCUAAAAUAUCUUGAAAAUGAUUUGGAUAUUUUUGGGAGAUCUAGUAGUCUUUAUAUCCCUUUUGCAAGGAAUUGCAAAACCUAAUCUUAACUGAGAUAAGAGAGGUCUUUUAGAGGUUUUUGUUUGAUUUUUUUCUUGAUAAAUUAAAUCAUUAUUCGAAAAGUGCUUUAUGAAUUUACUCAGCUUAACUUUGCUUUGCCUUCUAUUAACAUUGAAAGUAGCAACAGAAGAAGUUUGUCUUGCAACUCUAUAUGUUGUUCUAGGAGCAUCAACAAAUGAGCAGGAAACAAAAUAACUACGAAACACAGAUUUAUACAGAAAGCCUUUUAUUUUUCCUGCAUAGAAGUUUUAUGCUUCAAACUUUUUUAUCUUUUAAUGUUCUUUUUUUAUAAAGCCUAUAAAUGUGUCUCGAAAAAACUAUGUAAAAGGGUUAUGUGUCACAUCAAAAAAAAAGAAAUUGUACUACAAAGGAGAAUGUAAUGCAUAGCCCUAUAACCUACAAGUCAACAGUGAGCAAUUGACUUGGCUGCAUUCAUGUAAAUUGUUAAACCACCAUGUCUUCCCUUAGGUCUGUGCUGUCAAAAUAAGUUAUAGUGUACAAAAAGGUCUGCAGUCAAGCAAUUGUGUGAACUUUGUAGUCCAUUUGGAAGACAUUCUUCAUGAUAGACGACUGUGUUUAGAGCAGUUAAGUUGUUUCUUUCCAAAAGAGUUCAUGUUCAUUUUAAGAUGAAUGUUUAACCCUGGGUUUUCCUGCACAUGUGCAGAUGUGAUUCUGUAGUUUAGCAGCUGUUCAGUGUCAACAGGCUGGAAAGAACAUGGAUCUUCACACAGUCAGAAAUAUUGUCCUAUCAGUGUAAAAGACUACACCAAUGUAUUGCAAUGUUGUGUGCAAUACAACAUAUCUUUUUGUGACAUGUUAUUACUAAUUAGGUAGAUCGUACUAAUAAAUUCAGUCUCUGAAAGGCUGCAUUUCUGACAGCUUGUUUCUAUCUGCUUGAUUUAUUCUUUAUCCAAACAGCAGCUGAGAAGCACAAGUGAACUUAACAUAAAAAGAUCUUUUAAACAUUAUUCCGAUGAGCUUCACUGUGAAAUUGUAGCAUUAUAUCUAAUUUUUCUUAUACAGCUUAGAUAUGAAACAGAACAUACGGUUGCUAUAGAUGCAGGUUUCUUUACUUUAGAAAAAAUCUAUGAACAUAAACUCUGUACAGGUGUUACCAAUAAUCUUCUGCCCACAGUGAUAUU